CCUCCCCCUCGUGGCAGCGUCGUGGGCCGUGGCCGCAGAUCCGUGGAGCCGCCGCCGCUACGGUCAGCGCUGCGGAGCCGCCGACGCCCCUAUUCCCUCCAUGGCCACGGAUCCAAUGGCGUCAGCUUCCUGGCGGUGCAGCGCUCGUCCUCCACUCCAAUGGCGACCUCCUGCCUCCUGGUUUUCUUCUGCCUCGCCGCCACCGUCGUGGUGGCGGCUCGCCAGAGAAGACGCCCUCUGCUUGCCCCACAGCGCAGGCCGAGCGGCUCAGCCGCGCGCUCAACCUCCUGCCCAGGGAGGCAGGGCCGGUCUGGUCCCGUGAUGGCCCCCCACCGUGGCGCUUGGGGAGCUCCAGGAGCGGCGGGUGAGUAUGCCCGACGCGCCAGACGAGGUCCACGACCUCGGCCACCACGCAGCUUACUUCCCCCUGCCACACACAGGAACGACGCCAGGUGCUGCUGCAGGGUGUUCUACUUCUUCAAAUCGAGGGGCAAGAAGGAGGACCCAGUGUAGAUCUCAACCUACUGGAACUGGCUUUAGCUACACCUCUGAUGAUCGCGAUACUUGUCAUGAUGAGACUGGUGUCAGCAAUGACCUACAGGACUUUCUCUAGGAGAAAGGAGUGCAGCCACUUCACUUGCUGACAAAAUGAUCGAGUCUCUGAAUCUCCAGUCUGUUCGGGUUAAUCUUCCUCGAGUUUUGCCUUAGAAGAUUUUUGCAGCAGCAUCGUUGGACUCUUAUUGUUACAUAUUACAUGAUGUCGAUACAAUUUUUACAUUGAUCGGUUAUCUAAGCUCAUCAUGGACCAAGAGCUUGUUGAGAGGCAGCUAGAUGUGAUCAAGGUUCAUCAUUCUCCGGGGUUCUUCAGGAUUCUACACUUAUGGAAUCUGUGAGCAUUAGGAAGGAUGGCAUGAUUUUGGCUUGGGUUAGACGAGGGUGGCUUUCAAGCUCUGGAAAGACAAAUUGGCCUAGCUAUCUGAACUUUUUCAUGUUCAUUGAAUAUCUGAUUGUUUGCUGUCCAUUGAAGCCAUCUAUGAUUUGGUGCAAUUUCAGGUUUCAUUACAUGGUAUUGGCUGACGACGGGCAGAGAAUUAUGCCAAUGCCCAAAGACGGAAUGCCUCCCCAAGGUCAGCCAUUAGCAUACCCUGAGGCUGUGCUCCUUAUGGACCCAAUCAAUCCUGAUCUGAGAGGGGAGAUUAAGAGCAGUUGAGGAUAGUAUCAUCGUGCAGUUUUUCAGAAAACAAGCUCCCAACAAGCAUGAGUCUGGAAAGCAGCACUGCAGCAGGAGCUUCAGAUGUAGGUUAGUAAAUACUAUUAACUGGGUGGAUCAUGAGCGCAUCUUCACAAGCUGAUUCUACACAAGAUCCUUCACUAACUGAGCCCCUUCCUUUUGGUUGUGUUCCUAUAUAGCUAUUUUUUUAUAGAGUGAGUUUAUGACUUCUCUUGUUUGUGAAUAUUGAAAAGGAUGUACUCCCUCCGUCCCAAAAUACAAGUCACCCUAGAAAUUUUAGGACAAAUUAUCCGUAAGGGAAAAUGACUAUGUUUUCCCCUA